rnacentral:rRNA from 1 species
AGAGUUUGAUCCUGGCUCAGGAUAAACGCUGGCGGCGUGCCUAACACAUGCAAGUCGAACGCUCUCUGGCAACAGAGAGAGUGGCGGACGGGUGAGUAACACGUGGGUACCUAUCCUUUAGUGAGGAAUACCGGCGAGAAAUCGCCGACAAUACCGCAUACGUUUGGCAACAAACAAAGCUUCGUAAGAGGCGCUAGAGG